CAAUAGCGUAUAUCAAAGUUGUUGCAGUUAAAAAGCUCGUAGUUGAAUUUCGGGUCCCCGCGCUCGGCGCUUCAUUGUGCCGUCGUGGUGUCCCUCCUCGCCGUAAGGCGUCCUUUACUGUGAAAAAAUUAGAGUGUUCAAAGCAGGCAAUCGCUUGAAUACAUUAGCAUGGAAUAAUAAGAUAGGAUCUUGUCUAUUUUGUUGGUUGCGGACAACGAUAAUGAUUAAUAGGGAUAGUUGGGGGUGUCCGUAUUGAGCUGUCAGAGGUGAAAUUCUUGGAUUUGCUCAAGACGAACUACUGCGAAAGCAUUCACCAAGGAUGUUUUCAUUA
rnacentral:rRNA from 1 species